UGACCUACUAAACCUGCAGUGAGUCAACACACACACACACACACACACACACACACACACACACACACAGAGAUACAAGAAUGAGUGUGAGCAGAGCAGCGCCUCCACCUGGCCGUCAGACCAAGAACUGUGAGGAAGACGACGGUUAUGUCAGGAAACCAGAAGACAGGCGAAGAGAACAGUUAGCUCAGACCCCCCCCCGCCCCCCCCACCCUUCAACAUUGACUCAUUCUUCCCCUUCACGUGUGUGUGUCUCAACAGUUUCAGUUCUUGAAGCAUCUCCACCUCUGAGAACAACUGCUGCGGCGAUAAGAAAGUCGAGGGACGAGGACGAGGACGAGGACGAGGGCGAGGACGAGGGCGAGGACGAGGGCGGGGGCGGGGCCACGUCCCCCUGCUUUGGUGACAAACGUUUUGCAACGUGUUUGUUUGAAGGAUAUAAAAAAAGUGGAUAAAGUCGCGAUGGUGGACGACGUGGCCGCAGUCGACUUCACCAACGUGGAGUUACUUCUUGAACCACUUUCCGAGGCUGCAGAGACACAGAAGAAGAAGAAGAAGAAGAAACCUGUCAGUCGUUACGUUCAUCGUCCACAAACAUGUCGACUGUCACUGAUUGGUCCAUACCCAUUUCCUCGGUCGUCCACGUGGCCGUCGCUCCCCGACAGGCUCGACUUUCUGAUGCAGAACAGAGGAGAGGGACGAACGGGUGGAAGUGGACGCCCUGGUGGUGGAAACAGACAACUGACACAACCGUGGGAGGCGUGUGAUGAUCCGACACGUCACGUGAGGGCAGUCGUCCGUCUGAACUUGCUCAAAGGCUCUGGGGCAUUAGUUUGACGGUGGUGAUGUUGAGGUGACGUUAGCGUAGCUUUCUGCUCAGGAUUCAACACCGACACCUGUUCUGUUUCUGUUGUUUCUCUCUGUUUCACCUGAGCUUCAGUCUGAUCUAAUCCCUGAAGGACACGGACGUCAGUGACCAGGACGUCCUCGAGGUCUUUUUGGAGCCGGGGGUCCAACAGGCUCCUGAAGAGAGACCACCAGAAGACCGACAUUAGUCCGUCGGCCACGACACAGACUACGACUCAGAUGUGGUCAAAGCUCCGGAGCAUCCUCUCUA